rnacentral:rRNA from 1 species
UUGACCUCGGAUCAGGUAGGGAUACCCGCUGAACUUAAGCAUAUCAAUAAGCGGAGGAAAAGAAACCAACAGGGAUUGCCUCAGUAACGGCGAGUGAAGCGGCAAGAGCUCAAAUUUGAAAGCUGGCCCCCUCGGGGUCCGCGUUGUAA